rnacentral:rRNA from 1 species
AGAGUUUGAUCCUGGCUCAGGAUAAACGCUGGCGGCGUGCCUAACACAUGCAAGUCGAACGUCCUGUUCUUCUUCUUGAAAGAGGAGGAGAGGAGGGAGUGGCGGACGGGUGAGGAACACAUGGGUAACCUAUCUUUCAGUGAGGGAUACCGGCGAGAAAUUGCCGACAAUACCGCAUGAGCUUCCAGCUGGCAGCAGCU